rnacentral:rRNA from 3 species
CCGCCUGGGGAGUACGGCCGCAAGGUUAAAACUCAAAUGAAUUGACGGGGGCCCGCACAAGCGGUGGAGCAUGUGGUUUAAUUCGAUGCAACGCGAAGAACCUUACCUGGUCUUGACAUCCACAGAAGAAUCCAGAGAUGGAUUUGUGCCUUCGGGAACUGUGAGACAGGUGCUGCAUGGCUGUCGUCAGCUCGUGUUGUGAAAUGUUGGGUUAAGUCCCGCAACGAGCGCAACCCUUAUCCUUUGUUGCCAGCGGUUAGGCCGGGAACUCA